rnacentral:misc_RNA from 1 species
UACUUUGAACUCUUUGAAUCC